rnacentral:lncRNA from 1 species
AACAGAUGCUUCGCUAUUAAAAUAUUUCCCCCCAAUACUGAAGAAUCUUAAACCAGCAACCCUAACAGAGAUUGCGAAGAUUUUCAAAGUGGGGCACCUCGAUUUCUCGAAUCUGUGGUGUGGCGAAUAUCCGUGUUCCUCCUGCUUAACUAGCCUGUUUGAAGGCACAGUUCAUUCUCGAGCAAUUCGUCACCUCCUGGGGGUCUUCUCUUCCCGUCUACAGGAGAGUGUGACUUCAGAAAGAACUUCGGAUUGGCCAAGACAGAGUUGGAGAUGGGCUACCAUUGGUGUUGAUUGAGAUGACAAGCAGUCACCUGAGCCCAUACAGCUGUGGGAGAAAGUGCUUGCUGCCAAGCUUGAUGACCUAAAUUGAAUACCUGGAACCUACACGACAGAAAGAGAGAGCUGACUGCUGAAAGAUGUCCUCAGAUCUUCACAUGUGCACAGUGGCACCUAUCCAACCAUGCACAUAGUAUAUUAAAAAUUAUUUUUUAAAAAAUCCA